rnacentral:rRNA from 1 species
ACAUGCCUACAACAUAGUUUUAAUGCAUUAGAUACCAUUAGAACUAUGUAGUUAAGCAUGCUCGGGCUAGAGUAGUACUGGGAUGGGUGAUCGUCUCGGAAGUCCUACUAUUUUACAUGUC